rnacentral:rRNA from 1 species
AUUGAACGCUGGCGGCAGGCCUAACACAUGCAAGUCGAACGAGUGGCGGACGGGUGAGUAAUGUCUGGGAAACUGCCUGAUGGAGGGGGAUAACUACUGGAAACGGUAGCUAAUACCGCAUACCCUCAGAUGUGCCCAGAUGGGAUUAGCUAGUUGGUGGGGUAAAGGCCUACCAAGGCGACGAUCCGUAGCGGGUCGGAGAGGAGGAUCAGCCACACUGGGACUGAGACACGGCCCAGACUCCUACGGGAGGCAGCAGUGGGGAAUAUUGCACAAUGGGGGCAAGCCUGAUGCAGCCAUGCCGCGUGUAUGAAGAAGGCCUUAGGGUUGUAAAGUACUUUCGGUAGGGAAGCGUUACCCAAAGAAGAAGCACCGGCUAACUCCGUGCCAGCAGCCGCGGUAAUAC